CCUACGUGUGGCAGCAGUCGAGAAUCAUUCACAAUGGGGGAAACCCUGAUGGUGCGACGCCGCGUGGGGGAAUGAAGGUCUUCGGAUUGUAAACCCCUGUCAUGUGGGAGCAAACGAAAAAGAUAGUACCACAAGAGGAAGAGACGGCUAACUCUGUGCCAGCAGCUGCGGUAAUACAGAGGUCUCAAGCGUUGUUCGGAAUCACUGGGCGUAAAGCGUGCGUAGGCUGUUUCGUAAGUCGUGUGUGAAAGGCGCGGGCUCAACCCGCGGACGGCACAUGAUACUGUGAGACUAGAGCAAUGGAGGGGGAGCCGGAAUUCACGGUGUAGCAGUGAAAUGCGUAGAGAUCG
rnacentral:rRNA from 1 species